UACCUGGUUGAUCCUGCCAGUAGUCAUAUGCUUGUCUCAAAGAUUAAGCCAUGCAUGUGUAAGCACACACUGUUUUAAAAGUGAAGCCGCGAAUGGCUCAUUACAACAGCCACAGUUUAUUAGAACUUACAAUCAUGGAUAACUGUGGUAAUUCUAGAGCUAAUACACGCACAAAAACUUCAACUGAAUUGGUUGAAGUGCUUUUAUUAGAACAAAAACCGAACGGCGUUUGACGAAUGUUGAACGUCGAAACUGUUUGGUGAAUCUGAAUAACUAUUUCUGAUCGCAUGGUCUAGCACCGGCGACAUCCACUUUUCAAGUGUCUGCCCUUAAUCAAACCU
rnacentral:ncRNA from 1 species